UACGAAGGGGGCUAGCGUUGCUCGGAUUGACUGGGCGUAAAGGGCGCGUAGGCGGUUCGUACAGUCAGACGUGAAAUUCCUGGGCUCAACCUGGGGGCUGCGUUUGAUACGUGCGGACUUGAGUGCGGAAGAGGGUCGUGGAAUUCCCAGUGUAGCGGUGAAAUGCGCAGAUAUCGGGAAGAACACCCGUGGCGAAGGCGGCUCUCUGGGACGGUACUGACGCUGAGACGCGAAAGCGUGGGGAGCGAACAGG
rnacentral:rRNA from 1 species